rnacentral:rRNA from 1 species
CCCCGGGCUCAACCCCUGCGGAACUGCGUUUGUGACUGCUGGGACUUGAGUGUGGUCAGACGGGGGGUGGAAUNUCCACGUGUANNCGCAGUGAAAUGCGUANGAGNAUGUGGAGGAACACCGAUGGCGAAGGCAGCCCCCCUGGGUCAACACUGACGCUCAUGCGCGAAAGCGNUGGGGAGCAAACAGGAUUAGAUACCCUGGUAGUCCACGCCCUAAACGAUGCGAACUAGGUGUUGGGGAAGGAGACUUUCUUAGUACCGCAGUACGCGUGAAGUUCGCCGCCUGGGGAGUACG